AAAUCAGGUAGGACUACCCGCUGAACUUAAGCAUAUCAAUAAGCGGAGGAAAAGAAACUAACAAGGAUUCCCCUAGUAACUGCGAGUGAAGAGGGAAGAGCUCAAAUUUUGAAUCUGGCG
rnacentral:rRNA from 1 species